rnacentral:rRNA from 1 species
UACGAAGGGGGCUAGCGUUGCUCGGAAUCACUGGGCGUAAAGGGUGCGUAGGCGGGUCUUUAAGUCAGGGGUGAAAUCCUGGAGCUCAACUCCAGAACUGCCUUUGAUACUGAGGAUCUUGAGUACGGGAGAGGUGAGUGGAACUGCGAGUGUAGAGGUGAAAUUCGUAGAUAUCGUAAGGAAGACCAGUGGCGAAGGCGGAUCUCUGGACAGUUACUGACACUGAGGCACGAAGGCCAGGGGAGCAAACGGG